rnacentral:rRNA from 1 species
CCUACGGGGGGCAGCAGUGAGGAAUAUUGGUCAAUGGACGAGAGUCUGAACCAGCCAAGUAGCGUGAAGGAUGACUGCCCUAUGGGUUGUAAACUUCUUUUAUAUGGGAAUAAAAUGUUCCACGUGUGGGCUUUUGUAUGUACCAUAUGAAUAAGGAUCGGCUAACUCCGUGCCAGCAGCCGCGGUAAUACGGAGGAUCCGAGCGUUAUCCGGAUUUAUUGGGUUUAAAGGGAGCGUAGGUGGAUUGUUAAGUCAGUUGUGAAAGUUUGCGGCUCAACCGUAAAAUUGCAGUUGAAACUGGCAGUCUUGAGUACAGUAGAGGUGGGCGGAAUUCGGGGUGUAGCGGUGAAAUGCUUAGAUAUCACGAAGAACUCCGAUUGCGAAGGCAGCUCACUGGACUGCAACUGACACUGAGGCUCGAAAGUGUGGGUAUCAAACAGGAUUAGAUACCCGAGUAGUC